AAGACCCCGUGAACCUUUACUAUAGCUUGACACUGAACAUUGAGCCUUGAUGUGUAGGAUAGGUGGGAGGCUUUGAAGUGUGGACGCCAGUCUGCAUGGAGCCGACCUUGAAAUACCACCCUUUAAUGUUUGAUGUUCUAACGUUGACCCGUGAUCCGGGUUACGGACAGUGUCUGGUGGGUAGUUUGACUGGGGCGGUCUCCUCCUAAAGAGUAACGGAGGAGCACGAAGGUUGGCUAAUCCUGGUCGGACAUCAGGAGGUUAGUGCAAUGGCAUAAGCCAGCUUGACUGCGAGCGUGACGGCGCGAGCAGGUGCGAAAGCAGGUCAUAGUGAUCCGGUGGUUCUGAAUGGAAGGGCCAUCGCUCAACGGAUAAAAGGUACUCCGGGGAUAACAGGCUGAUACCGCCCAAGAGUUCAUAUCGACGGCGGUGUUUGGCACCUCGAUGUCGGCUCAUCACAUCCUGGGGCUGAAGUAGGUCCCAAGGGUAUGGCUGUUCGCCAUUUAAAGUGGUACGCGAGCUGGGUUUAGAACGUCGUGAGACAGUUCGGUCCCUAUCUGCCGUGGGCGCUGGAGAACUGAGGGGGGCUGCUCCUAGUACGAGAGGACCGGAGUGGACGCAUCACUGGUGUUCGGGUUGUCAUGCCAAUGGCACUGCCCGGUAGCUAAAUGCGGAAGAGAUAAGUGCUGAAAGCAUCUAAGCACGAAACUUGCCCCGAGAUGAGUUCUCCCUGACUCCUUGAGAGUCCUGAAGGAACGUUGA
rnacentral:rRNA from 1 species